UGCAGUCGACGAAGGCUUCGGCCUUAGUGGCGCACGGGUGCGUAACGCGUGGGAAUCUGCCCUUGGGUUCGGAAUAACAGCGAGAAAUUGCUGCUAAUACCGGAUAAUGACGUAAGUCCAAAGAUUUAUCGCCCAAGGAUGAGCCCGCGUAGGAUUAGCUAGUUGGUGUGGUAAAAGCGCACCAAGGCGACGAUCCUUAGCUGGUCUGAGAGGAUGAUCAGCCACACUGGGACUGAGACACGGCCCAGACUCCUACGGGAGGCAGCAGUGGGGAAUAUUGGACAAUGGGCGAAAGCCUGAUCCAGCAAUGCCGCGUGAGUGAUGAAGGCCUUAGGGUUGUAAAGCUCUUUUACCCGGGAUGAUAAUGACAGUACCGGGAGAAUAAGCUCCGGCUAACUCCGUGCCAGCAGCCGCGGUAAUACGGAGGGAGCUAGCGUUAUUCGGAAUUACUGGGCGUAAAGCGCACGUAGGCGGCUUUGUAAGUUAGAGGUGAAAGCCUGGAGCUCAACUCCAGAAUUGCCUUUAAGACUGCAUCGCUUGAAUCCAGGAGAGGUGAGUGGAAUUCCGAGUGUAGAGGUGAAAUUCGUAGAUAUUCGGAAGAACACCAGUGGCGAAGGCGGCUCACUGGACUGGUAUUGACGCUGAGGUGC
rnacentral:rRNA from 1 species